AGCUCGAUAGUUAAUAGUAACAGAAUAACUAAGAAUUGCAAAUUCUUCAUAGCUUUUCAGCUCGAGCUU
rnacentral:tRNA from 1 species